GCUGAGGCAGCUCUCCUUCUGGAAGGAAGAUCCUCCUACUCGCCCUUCCCCCAACUUUUCCAUGUAUUCCAUCCUCACCCCCAUCCCCCAUGGGCUACUAUGGUCCUUCUGAAUUUAAAAAAAAAUGCAGCUUUUCACAUUCACAUUCUCCAACUGCAGCGAGAGCAGAAGGCGGAGAUAAUGACAAUGAGAAAGGGGAAGUGUCUGAGGGCUGAGAAGGACCAAGGACACCAGCAUGGGGCAACUGGGAAGCAGCCUGACCCGCAGCAUGUUUGGAACCCUCCCACUCAUUUGCCACCAUCACCGUCUGGAAAUAGGUGAAGUUACCAGACUUUCACAAAUGGAAGAAAGAUUCUUGGCAGCUCCUUUUCUUCUGCAUUGAGGGAAUUGAAAUGGCCAACG